AGCUCAGCUGGUAGAGCAUCGGUCUCCAAAACCGAGGGUCGUGGGUUCGAGUCCCUCC
rnacentral:tRNA from 1 species